UGGCCUUGACAUAGACAGAAUUUAGUAGAGAUAUAAAAGUGCCAGUUUACUGGAGCUGUUAUACAGGUGCUGCACGGCUGUCGUCAGCUCGUGUCGUGAGAUGUUGGGUUAAGUCCCGCAACGAGCGCAACCCUCGUGAUUAGUUAAUAACGGUUCGGCCGAUGACUCUAAUCAGACUGCCUGGGUAACCAGGAGGAAGGUGAGGACGACGUCAAGUCAUCAUGGCCCUUACGGCCAGGGCUACACACGUGCUACAAUGGGGUAUACAGAGAGCCGCGAUACCGCGAGGUGGAGCAAAUCCCAAAAACCGGUCCCAGUUCGGAUUGGAGUCUGAAACUCGACUCCAUGAAGUUGGAUUCGCUAGUAACGGCGUAUCAGCUACGACGCCGUGAAUACGUUCCCGGGCCU
rnacentral:rRNA from 1 species